AAGAAACCACCCAUGAAACUGCUCAGGCCAUCAAGGGUAUGCAUAUAUAAAAAGCCACCAAGUAUAUGAAAGAUGUCACUUUACAGAAACAAUGUGUACCAUUUCCACAUUACAAUGAUGGAGAUAGUAGGUGGUCCCAGGCCACACAGCACGGCUGCACACGGGGUCAGUGGCCAAAAAAGAGUACUGAAUUAUUGCUACAUAUGCUUAAAAAUGCACAGUCAUGCCGAACUUAAGGGUUCAGGUGCAGAUCCUCUGGUCAUUGAGCAUGUCCAGGUGAACAAAGCACCCAAGAUGUGCUGCCUGAUGUAAAGAGCUCAUGGUCAGAUUAACCCAUACAUGAGCUCCCCCUGCGAAACCAAGAUGAUCCUCAUGGAAAAGGAAUAAAUUAUUCCUAAACCAGAAGAGGACAUUGCACAGAAGAAAAAGAUAUCCCAAAAGAAACUGAAGAAACAAAAACUGAUAGUAUGGGAAUAA
rnacentral:lncRNA from 10 species